GUUAGUGUCAAAUCUGUAUUCCUGUGGUUGAAGUUCAAACUUCACACUCAGGUUUCAAGCCUGUUACCUACAGACAGAAGGCAUGGCAAGCACCACUAUCUCAGGAAACAAAAAUGGGCUUGAUCACUGCUACCAGCAGCUGCCUGGGAGCUGGUGGAGACUUCGUCGUUCAUGGAGACCCAAAGCAUAGAAAAAGCAAGUUGAACUGGACUUGUAUUGUCUUUACUUUCAGACUCAAAGAGAGGAUCACAGAAGUCAAUGGAAGAUCACGAAGCAAUCUCAUCUUGGAUUGUAUUUUGAAUUUGAUUAUGUUAGAAAUGACUCUUUGUAAGGACUCAUCUCCAUGUGACUCCUGGCCCUGCUUCCAUCAAGCCUUCAGCAAUCUCGUGGCUUUCUUGGGAUGCUUCUACACAAACUGCUUUGACUUACCCCAUUCUGUAUGGCUUUAAUUCAGUCCAGUGGUGUUUCACACUGGUUUCACUGUAAGAAUUAAAUAUGCCUUGUGUCAUUUGUGGCUUCAUCAGAAUUAUUUUUUCCAGUGCCAGUGAAAAAGGAGACAAGGGAGUGGUAGGGAAUAAAGGGGAGGGAGUGUUUACUGACAGCUGAAUGCCUUCUCGGCCUUGUCUUGGCUUUUCCUCAGACAUUGCUUUUGUUAAUAUUGUCUCUCCAGAAACAUGUUGCUUUUUGGAAGUUGAUUUGCCUGUAUAGAGCAAUACAGACCUUUGUGUGAA